UCUCGCUCACUGGCGACGCGCACACCCACGCACAUGGAAGCAUCGCCCACGCGCGACUUCUCUACUCCAACGUCUCAACGCUUGUGCGGGUACUUACAACCCUCCUCCCUCUGCGCGACUUCUCUGCUCGAACGCUACGCUUCGUUUCUUUUAGUCCAGCCUUGAUUUCGCUUCUCUGCGUCGUUCGGCGUACACGCAACACGCACAACUCCCACGCCGCUUUCCGUUGGCUCUCAACGUUGCCCAACAGCAGGGAUAAGCGAUGCUGAUGCUUGAUUAAGGACGCCAUCACAACAGAAACAGCACGUUAACAUAAAAAAAGCAAGCAGAAGGGGGCUGCAUCUACAACACUGCCGCGGCACACGAAGCAUGUGCACUCGUUGUCAGCACUGCACCGUUUUUAUCACCCUCUCUCCGUCUUUACUCGUCUCUCUCUCUGUGCGUGUGUGUGUGUGUGACGGCCUUGUGGUCCCCCUCCCCCCCUCUCCCGAACCCCCCUUGAAUCCUUCAUCACACCCCUCGCCGGCGCUUUCCCUACAACGUGUGGCUCUUCCUUCUCUUCUUUCUCUGUCGCACGUGGGCUCUGUCUGGAGCGCAACUCGGCUACUGUGUUGGUGUGCAGGCUGUGCCCCACUUGCCGGGCUUCGUCUCUAAGCGUGCGAGGGAGCGCUAUGGGAGUGGUGCCGGUGAAGCGUCGGGGUGGCUUCCGCCGCGAUGAGGACCGUCGACUGCGACUGUCGCGCCGAUGUGGGGCGACGGUGGCUGUGGUCAUGGUCUUCCUGCGUCUUUUCAGUCACACGAGCCCAGCCGCACACGCCUUCAACGUCUGCGCGGACAUCAGCCGCUGUAGCGAGUGUGUCUUCGACCAAACCGAUGGGCUCAUGCCACCGCCCCUGAUGUGCGGUUGGUGCGAGAGCACGCAGACGUGCAAGGAGGUUAACAGCACGGUGCUGUCUUACUACCGAACCACCCCCGCUACCGGCGGCGCUGGCGGUGCAGGCGACGCAGAGGUGGAGCACACCCCAGAUGAAAUCGCCGCGUUCCGUGAGCAGUUCUGCGCGGAUUUUCGCGAGCGCAACUUCAACGCGGUGUGCCCCGACAUGUUCUGCACCGCCUCGAAGACGACGAACAAUAUCUACAUCUGCCGCGCGCCGUCCAUCGCUGCGCUCGUGCUCGGCUGCAUCUUGUUUGUUCUCUCCAUCCUCCUGUACACGUGGAUGCAGACCAUUCACCAACUGCCGUGGAAGUACGAGCCGUUCCUGUCCGACCUCCUCGCCGGUCGGCCCAGGCCUCCUGACCCGGCGGGCGACGACGGCGACACCGAGGCUAUCGUCGACGACUGCCGCGACACGGCCGCGGUGCCAGACAUCAAUCCGCCGCCCUCAGUGCAGAGGGGGGAUAGCGCCGCCUCGCCGUUUCGCGAUCGCGACGGCGGCACCGAGGAUUUCGGAGAGCGCGGCGGUGAUGACGGUGGUGAGGGGGUAUCAUCAAGCCCGACCGCGCAGCGGCAGCAGCAGCAGCAGCCGGGGCAGCAUGCCCUUCUCCAUCGCGCCGCGCCGAUCGUGACGACGACAGCGGCAACCGGCUACUGCCCAAUCUGCCGAUGCCGCCAUCCCGUCCCCCUUGGCCCGGGCGACGUCUGUUUCUGGUGCAACGUCGCCCGCUUCGCCUUUGUGCCCGUCUCUCUGGCCCUCCUCAGCUCGUCCAUCGUCAUCGUCCUCAGCUUCGCCGUGUCGCUGAAGCCGUGGUUCGCCGAUAUUUACUUUACCGAGGUGCUCGUCGCGGCGUACCUUUCCUUCGGCGGCUUCGUCUGGUACGUUGUGCGUUACCGCCGCCGCGCGCCGCUCUUCUGCUUCGAGACGGAGGAGGAGCGCGAGGCGAAGGAGGAGGUGUGGUCCUCAACGCGGCACCGACGGCCCACCUCGCGGUUGCCGUCGGCAGCCGCCGGCCCCGCGUCCGUCAUUGGCAGCGCAUCCGAGGUGGAGAGGGAGAGCAUGCCUUCGCCACUGCACUCGCAGAGCGUGAGGCUGCAGCUCUUGAACGACGCGCGACACAACAUGGCCAGCACCACAUAUCUGAGACUGGCACUGCGGCUGCGUGGGCGGUCGUUGCUCGACCAGAUCCCGGAGUUGAAGAAGUACCGUGCGCAAAUUGCAUCGAUGCACCUCGCACCAGCCACCCUGACGAAGGUUGGCGGUGUUUUGGCGGCGAUGUGCACGCCCACGGCUGCCACGAUGGCGGGAUCUGGCGCGUACGGCGGAGAUGCGGGUACUACAGCGCCCACCACAGCCACCGCCGCUGCCACCAGGGCUGUGGCUGCUGCGGGUGCCUCCAUGACAGCCGUGACGAGGGCCGACGUGGACGCCACCGCGGCAACGCUCACAGCGUCUAUGCCGUCGUGCUUGUCCUUACCAUUUCAGCAGACGCGUCUGCCGCAGCACCCAACGCCGCUGCCGUCGGCAGUUGCGGCCGCGGCCGUGGAAAGCACCGAUACGGCGAGUGUCGUGGCAGCGUCCACGCUCCCUUCCGAUGCCCAAACAUCCCCGGCUGCAGCUGCUGGAUCCGCUUCGGCGGCCGUUGCGACGAGCGCGGCGGCCGCGACGCCGAUGCCGCUGGCGACGACGCUGCCCGAUGGAGUGGCUCGUCAGAAGCGGGCCGAGACGGCCCAGCUGCUCAGCUCCGACUUUCUCUCCCCGCCGUACCGCAAAGCCCUUAAGGCGACCCUCUUCAGGGACGAGCUCAUCAUGUGGUACUCCGAGCCGCGGCUGCGCAGCGUGCUGAUGGAGAACAAGUGGCUGCUGCUGGACUUGCUCGCGGGCCUCCUCUUUGGCAUCUGGAUGCUGAUGCUGUCCUCGGUGAGCGACAACACCUUCGCUAUUGUGCGGCUGAGCGGCUCGACAGCCGUGGCGGCGUGCGGCCUGGUCGUUGUGCUUGGUUUUGCGCUGCUGCUCGUCGUGGUCGUCCGCAGCUGCAGGCGACUCUACGUGCUCACGGACGAGCGGCUUAUCACAGUGUACGAGAGCAUCAUCGAACCGGUGGUGACCGCGACAGACCUGAGUAGCGUCCGCUUCGCCGCCCUGUACGGCUACCACAGCAUCUGGGCCCGCGAGCCGGUGCUCGACUUCUCCUGGGAGGUCCCUGCGACAGAGCGCAAGAUGCCGGCCAUCAAGAGCCACAAGUUCUCGGGCAUCACGGAUCUGCACGAGUUUCUGUACUACUUCCGCAUGGUGGCGCCGCAGAUGCCAUUCCACCUGCAGCAGAUUUCGGAGUCGACGCGACAGGACCGCACCGAGUGGCGCAUGCACGUCAUCCUGUGCAUCGGCUUGUUUGUUGCACUGCCCAUCAUCACGGUGUACCCGCAUGCGGUGCCGGACUUCCUCGCCGCCUACCUCUACGUGGUGGCGCUGCUGCUCAUCGGCUCGACGCUGCUGCGCGGACUGCGGGCACAGCAGAUGACAUGUGCGCCGCUGAACAUUGCCGCGUCGUGGGCUCCGGUCCCGGCGCGGAACGAGAUGGACGGCGCAGAGCCGUUGCAGCCGCUGCCGCCGUCGGUGGUGACACAUGCACCGGACGGGUGCUCAGCGCCCAAGACAACGCCGUCCAGCUUUGGGGGCCACGAAGGGGCCGCAGGAGUUCUGCACAGCGUCAGCGUCACCGACAUCCGUGCCGAUAUGGAGCCCGAGCGGCAGAAAAGACCCCGCCUUUGUGUGACUGGGCACCGCUGGCAGUGAUGCGACGGCCACUGCGUCGAUGGCGCGCGUAUGCCGGAAAGCCUUGCGUCCGCCGUAGCUGCUGAUACCAUCGUUGACGCCACGGGUGGCUGACUUCGUGGGUUGUGCCGGGGGCGGCGCUAGGCUCGCGGGGACCGUGGCCAGCGUAACGGUGUCCUGCCCUUGGCCUAUCGCCGGGAAGGGUGGCAAGGCGGCGCUGCGGGGGGGGCACAACAACAAUCGCGGAGGGUUGUGGAGGGGCGCACGCAGGAUGGGCGCUGGCCGCUUCGUGCCUCGAUGCACGCCUCGAAAGCUGACUUCGUCUCCACCACUCGCUGGAGCCAGAGCCGCGCCGCUGUCUGCGACCGCUGGCAGCCGGAUGCGGGCUACGCCGGCAUCGGCCAGCACCAGUCCAGCAAACUGACCUACGACGGCAGCAAGCACGCCAUCCACGGAUGGUGUGCACGGGCCACCUACAUCUGCCCCCACCCCACCAUCGCUGGUUCCGACAGACAGAGCCAUGGCGGCUGUGAGAGUCGGCCCCAGUGCCCGCUCGCGCGGUUUACGCAUCGCGGCACUAGCGCACGGCAGCGGCAGGGGAGGGGUGGCGGCUGCCAACAGCGGUGGGGCCCUCGUGUUCGACGCCGCCCCUCGACCCGCAUCUUUCUUUUUCCGUGCUCGUCACCAGCGCUCUUCGCCCCCUUCUCGUUUAGGGCGUUACAGGAGGCCUCUCUUCCCCUCCCUUCCCCUCUCUUCGCUCUUGCUCUGCCAGUGCACUGUCCAGAUUAAUGGACGGAUGCCUGCGCCAUUUUCUGUUCUCUUCCACUUUUCACUUGUGUCGCUAAGGAGGGAGAGGGGGGGGGGUGCGGUCUGCUGGCUCACGCGUGCGCGUUGGCCGCUGGCAUGGCUCUCUGUUGCCUCCACACCACACUCCACGGCCCUCCUCCGCUGUAGCUGAGUGAUCCAGUCGGCCACCACCGUCCGCCAGCCACUUCUCUGUCCGUGAAAGGUACUCUCCUCACGCUAGUUGGACAGCCGCGAGGUCGAAUCUCCGCUUGCUCUCCUGUGUCUGUGUGUCUGCCGUUUGAGGGCUUCCCGCCUCGCUGUCGACGCCGGCCUUUUCCCUUCACAUGCCAUUCUUUCUAUGCUGCCGUCCAUGCGACUGUCACACCUCUUUCUUUCCACCCACGCAUGCAGUUGCGGCAAGAGAGUUCACAUCCGCCGAAGCGCGGCAGCGGCAUCGCCCUGCUCGCGGAUAGGGCUCGUAGGCGUGUCCUCGCCUCACAUCCUCACCGGCGAACGCGAGGCACAGAGGCAGGCACUAGUGCGCAUCCUUGUGUGCUUCCAUAGACAUGUACGCAUUCCUUAAGCCGCGUUUGUGUUUUCGUAUGACGGAGGCGCGCACGCUGGAGCGAGUCGAGGCGACGCGGAGAGCAGCGGAAAGCCCACCCCUCCCUCCCACAAAGACGAACAAGCGACAGCGCAGAUGGUUUUCGGCAACGCCGGGGAGGACGUGAUGGCGGGAUGAAGGAGAUUGUGUGUGUGCGGGUGUGGGGCUGAGGGGGGGGCGUCGCUGCUGUGUUUCGCUUUUCUUGCCCCAUCGACUCCGUGCGCCUCUCCAUCCCUUUGGAGGUGGGCAGGACGGCGCCCCUUCCCGUGAGCUCUGCUCGCUCAUAUCUCGUUGAGGACGUAAUCCUUACCGCGGCGAUGAAGCGCACCCAUCGGGGGUGCGCACGUACGCAUCGCCUGCACGUUAUCGGCAUACGUGCUGGUGCUUGCAGCUCCGUCGCUCGUAGCGGUGAGAGGCUGAGCCACUGUGGAUGGUAUUUCUCAUGUGUGUGUGCUUGUCUGGAGGUGGAGGCGAAGGUGUUCGUGUGCGCGUUCACGCGCGUGCCGAAGGGCUCAUGAGCAGGGGGCUGCUCUUGUUUGGGUUUUGUUUCGGACCGCCGGUAACGCGAGGGGGUGCGCGGGGAAGGCGCUUCGCGCUGCACUGCACUUCUCUCUCUCUGUGCGUGCUGCUGCUGCUGUUGCCGUGCCCUUCAUCGUCAGGGCGUGGGGUGGGUGCUGCCCGUUUGCCUGUCUGCCUCGACGGUAGACGGGGCACUCAUUCUCUUUCCUACGGGCGUUUCGUUGCGGGUCUCGCCGGCGUGCGCUGUGCCACACGUGCUGGGCCACGCAGCUAUGCGGCUCGCUUCUAACGAUGUCUUCCUAAAGGUAACUCGCCCGAGCAACAACAACAGCGCACGGCAACCG
rnacentral:misc_RNA from 1 species